rnacentral:rRNA from 1 species
AUUGAACGCUGGCGGCAGGCUUAACACAUGCAAGUCGAACGGUAACAGAAAGCAGCUUGCUGCUUUGCUGACGAGUGGCGGACGGGUGAGUAAUGUCUGGGAAACUGCCCGAUGGAGGGGGAUAACUACUGGAAACGGUAGCUAAUACCGCAUAACGUCGCAAGACCAAAGAGGGGGACCUCCGGGCCUCUUGCCAUCGGAUGUGCCCAGAUGGGAUUAGCUAGUAGGUGGGGUAACGGCUCACCUAGGCGACGAUCCCUAGCUGGUCUGAGAGGAUGACCAGCCACACUGGAACUGAGACACGGUCCAGACUCCUACGGGAGGCAGCAGUGGGGAAUAUUGCACAAUGGGCGCAAGCCUGAUGCAGCCAUGCCGCGUGUAUGAAGAAGGCCUUCGGGUUGUAAAGUACUUUCAGCGGGGAGGAAGGGAGUAAAGUUAAUACCUUUGCUCAUUGACUUACCCGCAGAAGAGCACCGGU